rnacentral:rRNA from 1 species
UACGAAGGGGGCUAGCGUUGCUCGGAAUCACUGGGCGUAAAGGGUGCGUAGGCGGGUCUUUAAGUCAGGGGUGAAAUCCUGGAGCUCAACUCCAGAACUGCCUUUGAUACUGAAGAUCUUGAGUUCGGGAGAGGUGAGUGGAACUGCGAGUGUAGAGGUGAAAUGCGUAGAUAUCAAGUGGAACACCAGUGGCGAAGGCGAGUCUCUGGACAUUUCCUGACGCUGAGGCACGAAAGCCAGGGGAGCAAACGGG